GCACAGCGAGGCGAUACAAAUAAUUAUAUCUGAGUCUAGUGAUUUGUAUGUCAAGAAUAUGUUUCCGGAACACCAUUGGACUGUAGGGCUCUACAAUUUCUGUUUUGUUUGAUAGCGUAAUAAUUAUUCACUGCAGUGUUUUCUUUGUCUAACUGACAUAGGGGCCUAGGCCUAUAUCGACAUUUUUCCGGGAAAAGUCUAAAUAAAUUCCGCUGAUGUACGUCUUAAGCCGCACUUGGAUAACGUGUUCAUAUGUUCUAGAGCUGAGGUACUAAAUUUCACGUAGCAAGUUGUAAUCACUCAAGAAAGAAGUUCUUCAUCCAUCGACUGUAUUUAUGUCGCUGUCGGAUACAGGGCAGCAUGUCUAUAUCUUCAAUAUCUGUCAACUGAGUAUAUACCUUGUUCAUACGGUAUACAAUAAAAACAAGUUCAAAGAAUAUUGAUUGCAAACGUCUCAGUUUGACAAUGUACUAUUAGAGAAACGUACAGCAUUAUGUUUUGAUAUGACAGCAUAUUACGUUGUAUUAUGGCAAAACGUGGAGAGGAACUGGCACAAGACCUAGAAGCGUACAGACAGCUUGAUGGAGUUCGUGAGACAAGAUCUGCCUUCGGCAGACUACGGCACUAACGAUGUCAGAUGAUGUAACGUAUUAAUCCUUUGAUUCGUAAAAUGCAACCGUUUUUGGUGUCCUGAAACAAAAGAUAAUGAACUCAGCUUUUGAAGAAGAAUAUUCGAUUAAAACUCCAAUCACAUCAAUUCGGAAUCGAAAUUCGGACCGCUUUUCCGAUGCGCUAAACGUCAGCAUCCCUAUUCUUACACAGUGAUUUUAAUUUCUCAUCGGUUCGGAAGCCUUUACGAUCCGAAAAUUCGGAUAUUGUGGAAAUGUAGCUUAAGUGUUAAUUACCAGUGGCGGAUUCAAGGGGAGCAGUCGGCCCGCCACUCCCCUCUCCCCAAAUUUUUAAAAAUUAAAAACAAAACGAGAAAAAGAGAAAAUUCUACUCAAAUUUUGAGUCUAAGAGUGCAUUUCCGGCCAUAUAGAGGUGCCGUAAUCAUAAAUGUUCUUACCCUCUUUCUCUAAAAAUCCCUCUCUGGGCGCCCCCUCUAUUUCAAACCUCUGGAUCCGCCACUGCUAACCGUAUCCAAAAGAAUAGGAGUGAACAACUUUUUAGCGUUGCACUAACCAAUUAUUGUAAUUUAAAUAAGUUCAUUAAGGUUAAAGUACUUUGUUUAGCAUAUUAGGCCUAUGUAAUUAAACUUUAUUAGCUGAUUAUGAAUAAUUGAGUUAAUCCAUUCUGUUCAAAACCUACCUUGAUAAAAGUACGCAACCACUACAAAACUAUGGUAGCCUAUGCACAGGUCUGUUAGUAGUCCAUAUGUUAUGGGAUAAUUAAUAAAUAAAAUGGUUGACAAUGUGAGCUUCGCAGUCUGAAUCAGUUUUAAUUUUGGCUGUAUUUUUUCUUUAUUGCGAUUUAAAAUUACAUACUGUAUCUUCUUAUUUCGAUGAAAUUCAUAUUUGAGUUUAAUUCAUUUUGUUCAAAACCUACCCUGAUAAAAGUACGUACCCAAUACAAAACUAUGGUAGUCUGUUAGUAGUCCAUAUGUUAUGCGAUAAUUAAUAAAUAAAAUGGUUGGCAAUGUCAGCUCUGCUGUCUGAAUCAGUUUUAAUUUUGGCUGUAUUUUUUUUUUUAUUGCGAUCUCAACAUAUACUGCAUCUUCUUAUUUCGAUGAAAUUCAUAUUUUUAUACAUAUUUUCAUGUUUUACAUUAUUCAAACUGUAAUCUAAUACUACUAUUAUUUCAUAUUAAUGGACAAAUCAAUUUGAAUUGCUGAAAUUAUAAUCUUAAGCUUCUUCCUUUACGUUUCCAAUUUCUAAAUUUGGCAAUUUUUUAUUUGCUCGUGUAAGCUAUUAGCUAUCAUCACAUUUCACUCGGUCUUGACAUGUGACUAGUAAUGUUCCUCUUCAUACCAUAUAUUAGUGCAUUGAAACGUCCUAUAUCGCCAAUUGACAUUUGUCAUUUAAUAAACUACGAUAAUGCAUUAAUAAUGAAAUCGAUUAUACACUAGGCCUGUUCACUAUUUUCUAAGUUUUUCAAUAUCGUUAUUAUAACUUUGAGUUCAAGUAUAAACAACCACGAGGUAGUUUUCAGUUAAUUAAGUAGCUUCUAUUUAUCUUGAGAUCGGCUGUAAGUAGAUAUGAUUGACUGUUUCUAGGCAAUUCUUGGCAAUAUAUAUAUUGAGCUUGACGAUAUAAUACAAUUGUAUUUAUGCCGGUGAGGGGUGAAUGUGGCUGUUAA
rnacentral:misc_RNA from 1 species